UUUUAUGAUUUUCCAAUAUCACACAUGCUUGGAUAUUUAUCAGUGCUGUACAUUUUUUUAGCUUAAUUAGCAUUCAAUUGCACUGAACUACAUUUUUAUUUAUUUAUUUCACUUUUAAAUUGUAUUGGACUACCACUACUCACAAAAGUUGGCAUAAGAAAAGAAGAUAUUUUCUGUCAGGCCAUUAGGUGACCUGGCACAGUGAGAGUCUUCUGAAAUCUUGGUGAUCCAAUGGCCAGUGCAAAGGUGUGACUAGGGUUACUCAUAGAAUUCUGUUCUUGAGUACUUGUUUAAAUUCUGUGAACAAUGGCCUAGAGAGAGAUGCAGUGAUCUGAAUUUCUUUUGGAGCUUUGGUGUAUUUCACUUUUCCAGGUAUUUGGAUUAGAUAAUACUUUGAUGAUACCUGGGGAGUGGAUGAAUUGGAUUUCGGUUGCUAAGUGGUAGUUUGUAUUUAACUACUUGUAUUGUUCACUGGUUUGUAAUUUUAUGUGAAAUGCACUUUGAUUUGUUCUAUGCAACUGAUUUCGUAGGCAAUAGUUUUUUGUUGGCUCUCAUUUGAUUGAUGCAAAAGCAUCAUGGCCAUUUUUGCAUUUACGAUUUGUUCUUAUUAUUGUCUUAUUUCAUUGACUUUGAACAUGCCACGAAAGUUGUGACUGUUCAUGUAAAUAAAUGGCUUGUGAGGCCCCAUUUGGAAUUAACCUGGUUUUAUUCGGUGCAUUGUUGGCCUAGUAUAUACUUGCUUCAUUAUGCAUGGUGAAUCAAGAACAAAUGUAUUCCAUCCUUUUGUUCCACACUUUUCGGUGGCAUUAAAGUAUAGUAUUUAUUCAAUUUAUCUUCUAAUUUAUUUUUAGAAUUAUCUUCACGUAAAAUAGAACUCAUUCCGAUGUGAUAUAAAUCCAAAUACCAUGUACCCAUUCAACGUUUUGGAUAAUCGUGUUAUUGGUGUGCUUCUCUUGAAACAAAUUACUGGCUUUAUUGAGGAUUUAUUUUGGUUGGAGAAUUCGGUUGAUCAAUUUUAGUGAAUAUUUUUCAACAAUUUUUGAUAAUUUUCUAUCUGAUUUUUCUAUUCAUGAGGUUUGACAAGGAUAUCGAUUUCACAUUGUGGGUGUAGAUUGCGGAUUUGGAUUAUUUGCAUUGAUAAACUAGUGUUGAUUUAUUCUUAGUUUGAGGCAUUUAAUUUCAGUUAACUCAUGAUAACCAGUACAAAAACCCAACAUUGAAUUUUGGAAUGGUCCUUCCAAAAAUAAUAAAGAAUGAAUGGUACGAUUAAUAUUGAGGUGGUUUUAGUCAUUUGUGUUGUUUGUCUUAAACCAUGUGCACCCAAGUUUUCUGAGGAGAAAUGAUUUAAGAUUUUUGCAGUGUAAAUUGAAUAUGUAAAUAUUGGAUGGUCCUUGUUAGCUUAGAGAGGCAACUAUGCUAUUUAGAUUAUGUCAUUACUCUGUAAAACUUGUAUUGAAAGUCAACACUUUCUUCAGCUUCUAUCAAAUAGAAAGACAAUCAAAUAACAUGGUUGAGGUGAACAAAUUUUCACCUACUUUGUUAUUUAGAAAUUGAAAACUCAAAUGAAGCUAUUAUUAACAAAUCUGAUAUAUGAUCAAUGAAUUGUUGAACGCUGGAUCAAUUUCGAUUGUAUAUAGAGUUUAAUUUAGUUUAGGCCUAAGAGUACCAGUGAAAGAGAACUUCAUAAUUAGUUGGAUUAAAAUUGGAAAACUUCUACUGUUCAACUAUUAUAAAACAUGUCAUUCUUCAGUACUUGUAAGAGUUGUUGUUUCUUACUGGAUAUCUAGCUAGCAGCAUUCCCAGGACAACUUGGAUUCCAUUCAUAUACGAAUACAUAACCUGAGUUUUGAAAAUUGAGGUUAGAGAUUCUGUUUUUGUGAAGCUAAAGUCUAUACAUUUCUUAGAACACUAAAUCCGUGCAUAGUUGUGGUCAAAUGUAAUAAAUAGAUCCACCUAACACAAUGUACAUAGAUCAGUUUUCAACUCAGUGAAUAGUAUUUAUUUAUGUAGAUACUGUUCAUUGAACAUAAUCUGUUUCAUCUUUAUCAAUAUCUUGUCAUAUAGCUGAUAGAUAAUGAUCUGAUAAAUAUACGAGUAGAUGUUACAUCUUUAUGUCUGGUAUUAUAUAAUUAACGGAUAACUAUCUUUUAAAUAUAUGAUUAGAAGUUGGAUCAACAUAUAUGUUUGAAAGAAUAUCUAUUCAAGAAGAUGAUCUUGGACUAACUUUUGUAUUUGAAGAAAUGAAAGUUUACUUCCAAUCAAAAGAUACUCCAAGUUAAAGAAAAAGGGUCUUUUGUUGUUCUCUUAAAUGAUCACAGGGAUGACAUGAGAAGCUACACAAAACUAGGGUGGUGGGGGUGGGCAUGCAUCUAAUAAAGUUCUCAUAUUCCUUGGUUUCUUCACCAUGCAAAGUCACAUCCAACAAUAAGAAUCCUCCAGAAUAUAUAUAUUUUUUCUUCUGAUUUCCCUUAAGUAAAGGACAACAGUGGAACAGUUAUAGAGCUUCCCCUUCUGCACAGAUGCUAGCAUCAUUAAUGCCUAGAGCUGGCAUGCCAUGUCAUGUAGCAUGAACAUUUUCUUUAUAUUCUCAUCAGAUCCUUUUUCUGCAUAAAAACCCCAUUCGUUUGUUUCAUGUCAAGAAAGCCAUUUUUUUGGCUUCUUCACCUCUACCAGUUAGUUACUCACUAAACCCUUAUAAGAGUCCAUGCUUGUUUGUUUCUUUUGUCAAUGUAAAAGCUCUUUCUUCCUCAUUCUAGGAGGGAAUGUUGUCUUCUUCAUUUGGGAAAAAACUGUUCUUGCAGUUAUGGCAGUGAUGGGCUGCAUUUGAUUGGUUAUACUGAAUAACUUGAUUUUCUACCUUGUUUUAUGUGGGAAUCAUAGAUUUCUUUUUCUUAGCCUAUUUGAAUGAUCACUAGCUUCAAAUAAUUCAUCUGAUGUCUUGCAUGUGGGAAUGAGGUCAUGUAAUGCAGCCAAGGAUGACUUGCCGGCAAACUUCUUUUGGCAUUCUUAGUUAAGGUUCUAAAAUUUGGUUGCAGUCACAGUUUUCUUUCAAUCUUUUGAUAUUCUGAUAAAUUAUAGGAAAAUACCACUGAUAUGCAUGAUUUUGAUCACAAUAAGUCUAAACAUUUUGAUGUUUUGGCUGAACUCACAAUUUUAUUUUGAUCUUUGAUAUGGUAGUAAACCACAAGAAGUCCAAAAUCCUUUGAUGUCGUGAUUCAAAUCAUGGUCAAGUUUCACAAUCCUUGACAAACUAGUUGUAUUGGAUAAAUUUCUAAGUAAAAAAAUAUGUUUUUUUUAAAUCAUUGAAAUUAGUUUAUAUACAAGCAAUUUUAUACCAUUUUUUAAUUCUUUAUUUUUUUCUUAAUUUAUCUUUAUUCAAAUAUUCAUUUUGCUUUCUUGGAAAUUCGGCAAGUCUUCUUUGGCUACAUCAAGGUCUUCUUCUCUCAUGCUAGAUUCUUUUGAUGAUUCAUGAAAUCAUGAUUGGACAUAAUCAAUGAUGGUAUCAAGAUUCAAUGGUGUGCAUGGUUUUAAAGUUUAAUCAAGUAUCUUAUUGUUACUGCAGAUCAUAAAAUUGAGUUUAGUGUAAUAUUUUGCAAGCUCCACACCAAAAUAAUUAUUUAUUGUGCCUUUGAUUUUCUUUUUUGUUAUAGUUGUAGUGUUUUAUUUACA